rnacentral:rRNA from 1 species
AACGCACCUUGCGCUCCUUGGUAUUCCGAGGAGCAUGCCUGUUUGAGUGUCAUGGAAUCAUCAACUCUAUUUCUUCUUUGUUGAAGGGAUUGAGCUUGGACUUGGAGGUGUAUGCUGGCCUUUGCGGGUCGGCUCCUCUUGAAUGCAUUAGCUUGAACCUUUGCUGUAUCAGCUGUUCGGUGUGAUAAUUGUCUACGCCGUCACUGUGAAGCAUUACACAUUUUGUGUGUGGGGCUCAGCUUCCAACUGUCCUGUAGAAGGGACAACAUCAUAUAUUGACCUCUGACCUCAAAUCAGGUAGGAUUACCCGCUAAACUUAA